rnacentral:rRNA from 1 species
CCUACGGGUGGCAGCAGUGGGGAAUAUUGCACAAUGGGGGAAACCCUGGUGCAGCGACGCCGCGGGAGGGAAGAAGUAUCUCGGUACGUAAAGCUCUAUCAGCAGGGAAGAAAAUGACGGUACCUGACUAAGAAGCCCCGGCUAACUAAGUGCCAGCAGCCGCGGGAAUACGUAGGGGGCAAGCGUUAUCCGGGUUUACUGGGUGGAAAGGGAGCGUAGACGGCAGCACAAGUCUGGAGUGAAAUCCCGGGGCUUAACCCCGGAACUGCUUUGGAAACUGUGCGGCUGGAGUGCAGGAGGGGUAAGCGGAAUUCCUAGUGUAGCGGUGAAAUGCGUAGAUAUUAGGAGGAACACCGGUGGCGAAGGCGGCUUACUGGACUGUAACUGACGUUGAGGCUCGAAAGCGUGGGGAGCAACCAGGAUUAGAUACCCCUGUAGUC